UUGGGAAUAUUGGACAAUGGGCGAAAGCCUGAUCCAGCCAUGCCGCGUGUGUGAAGAAGGUCUUCGGAUUGUAAAGCACUUUAAGUUGGGAGGAAGGGCAGUAAGCGAAUACCUUGCUGUUUUGACGUUACCGACAGAAUAAGCACCGGCUAACUCUGUGCCAGCAGCCGCGGUAAUACAGAGGGUGCAAGCGUUAAUCGGAAUUACUGGGCGUAAAGCGCGCGUAGGUGGUUCGUUAAGUUGAAUGUGAAAGCCCCGGGCUCAACCUGGGAUCUGCAUCCAAAACUGGCGAGCUAGAGUAGGGCAGAGGGUGGUGGAAUUUCCUGUGUAGCGGUGAAAUGCGUAGAUAUAGGAAGGAACACCAGUGGCGAAGGCGACCACCUGGGCUCAUACUGACACUGAGGUGCGAAAGCGUGGGGAGCAAACAGG
rnacentral:rRNA from 1 species